rnacentral:tRNA from 1 species
ACGACUGUAGCUCAGUUGGUUAGAGCACUACCUUGACAUGGCAGGGGUCGGUGGUUCGAAUCCACUCAGUCGUACCA